GGGUGACGUGGACGACUGGCCGUCCAGCGGUCCGUAACACCGCCGCUUCGCGCACACCAGGUUCGAGUCCUGGGUCACCCACCA
rnacentral:tRNA from 1 species